UUUAGUUGUCAUUUUUCAGCCGCAGGAAGCUCUUGCGAAAAAGGGUCUUCGGCUUUCUAUUUGGACGGGAUAGAGGCCUAUUUUGGUGACCCACACAAACGGUGAGAAGAGGUAAAGAGAGAAAGGGGCACAGCAACUGGAAGGAGAGGGAAUUCCAGACACUCUACCACUGUCUGCAAUUGAAUAAGAAAUUUCUCUUUGGAUCAGGGGGUCAAGCUUCUAGUAUGAAGAUUGUUCAAGAGUCAAGACUGUUGAAGAGGUGACGUCAUGGACCUGGUAGCACCUGGCAAGGGAACUAAAUUAUAUUACUGUUCACCCUCAAGUAUCCUAAAAACGGUUUAAAAAUUUGAACAUUAACAAAAGUACUAAUUUUCAUUUUUUCAAAGAUAAUAAUCAUUAUAUUGACAUUGUGGAUAUAUUUUAUGAUUAUCAUAAAAUU